AUCAUGUGCCAUUCUGGUCGCCGGCGACAGGGAGGAACCCGGUGCGAAUCCGGGGCGGUCCCGCCACUGUCACCAGGAAGCGACCUCUCCACGCAGGAGCAUCCGCACAGGAGGCUCUCCGCGUAGCCGCCACUGCCGCGCGAGCGCGGUGGGAAGGCCGGAGCGGACGCGACGAUCUGGGAGCCAGGACACUCCGGUCGCCGGUACGACCAU
rnacentral:ncRNA from 1 species